GUGUCAGCAGCCGCGGUAAUACGGAGGACCCGAGCGUUAUCCGGAUUCAUUGGGUUUAAAGGGUGCGCAGGCGGCCCGGUCAGUCAGCGGUGAAAUGCCCGCGCUUCACGCGGGAGCUGCCGUUGAUACUGCCGGGCUAGAAUCUCAGCGAGGCGGGCGGAAUGCGCGGUGUAGCGGUGAAAUGCAUAGAUAUCGCGCAGAACGCCGAUUGGGGAGCCAGCUCGCCAGCUGGGUAUUGACGCUGAGGCACGAAAGCGUGGGGAUCGAACAGGAUUAGAUACCCUGGUAGUCCACGCCGUAAACGAUGAUGGCUCGCUCUUGGCUGGAAACGGUCAGGGGCUUAGCGAAAGCGUUAAGCCAUCCACCUGGGGAGUACGCCGGCAACGGUGAA
rnacentral:rRNA from 1 species